UAUUAUAAUUGAUGUUAAAUGGAUUAUUACUGGGGUAAUAAUAGAUGAUCUUGAAACCCAAAGGAUUUGGCGGUAUUUUAGUCCUUUCAGGGGAAUUUGUCUUUUAAUUGAUAAUACACAAUUUGUUUUACUUAAUUAAGUUAUCAGUUUGUAUACCGCCGUCAUAAGAUUAUUUUUGUUUUGAGAAUUUAAUUUUCUUGUAUUUAUAUUAAAAAAUAUGUCAGGUCAAGGUGCAGUUUAUAAUUAAGAUUUAGAUGAAUUACAAUAAUUUUAGUUUAUUACGGAUAAUUAUUAUAAGAUUAAUUUGAAGGUGGAUUUGAUUGUAAAUUUAUUUUUAAUAUUUAUAUUGAUUAGGGCUCUAAAAUGUGCACAUAUCGCCCGUCGCUCUCGUAUUUUAAUUAUAUGAG
rnacentral:rRNA from 1 species